CUCAAACUGAAAAUCCACAGGCCUUUGCUUCACAAGUGCUGGGGUAACAGAGCUACUGCUGGAUUCUACUCUGUCCCGAGCCGCUGAUGCCACGCCACAGUUUUCCCUCAAGGUUGCUUCCUACUCGUCAAUGGCAGCCUCAUCCAGUCUCGAGUCCCCAUAGGAUCAGGACAGAAGUCAGGAGUAGGCAGUUUGCCUCCUACAACAACCUGAGCUGGGACCUGGGAGCCACGCUGGGUGCAGAGGAAGAAGGAAACACUUAAAGUGAGGAGAUCUGAGGAGAUCGGCAAGUCCCUGAGAACCUAAGUUACAACGUUUACCACACCCAUGGAGGCAAUGCAUUAUACAGACAGCCUGGCCCUGGCUGGCAGGGACCUCUUCUCUCUGCAGGCUCCAUGUAAAGGCACCUGUGGGUUCUGGUGAAACCAAGAAAAGUCAUAUACCACUUUCCCUGCUUCCCUUCUCCCUCUUG
rnacentral:lncRNA from 1 species